AAACGGAUGAGAAGAGGAAAGAGAAGGUCUACACGACAGGAUAUGUCACUGUAUGUAAGAGAAGGAUGCAGAAGUCGGCAGGGGAGGUCGGGAGAGACUACAAUGACCUGUAGAAAACCAGCUACCGGCAGAGUGCAAUGAAACCCCCAGGGAAGGGGGAAAGAACUGACAGAUGCAGACAACGGCCAGGCCCAAGGGAACGGCCCUUUUGUCAUGUAGCACAACUAAUCAGAAAACAUAAGGGAGUACCAAGAACACCCGGACCAAGGCAGAACUACGGGACCAUGUCCGGUAUCAGAGUAAGCGGUUUGCGGACUGCGAAAAAACAGUCGUGUGCAUGAGGCCUAAGAGUAUUUAGAAGAGGUUUUGCAAGUGUUUUUCUUACAGAGGCCUUGGUUGGGAUAACGCAGUUAAAAAUCUCUAUCUGCAGGAGGACAUUAAAGGGCGGCUAGGUAGGCUUAAGGUCUGUGACCGGUAGAGAUAUAAGACGGGACAAGCUAGAGGAGACAAAGGGGUUUUGGGAAAGGAAUAUUACUGGCGACGACGACCAAUUUACCGCCCAGAGAGUUGUGUAUGCCCUUGAUAGGUUUGCUUUGAUCUGGUAUUAUUAUUUGUUGGAUUACAGGGGAGGGGGGAAAUAAAAUGUAAAAAAUGCAUAGUAUUGUGUUGUCAGUUCUGAACUAAGAUGUAUCACCUGGUAUAUGUUUUCAUUGAAUGAUAUCGUAUUGUUAUCUUUUUUGUGAUCAUGACGCAAUACUAAUAAACAU